rnacentral:rRNA from 1 species
GUAGGUGGCAAGCGUUGUCCGGAAUUAUUGGGCGUAAAGCGCGCGCAGGUGGUUCCUUAAGUCUGAUGUGAAAGCCCCCGGCUCAACCGGGGAGGGUCAUUGGAAACUGGGGAACUUGAGUACUGAAGAGGAAAGCGGAAUUCCACGUGUAGCGGUGAAAUGCGUAGAGAUGUGGAGGAACACCAGUGGCGAAGGCGGCUUUCUGGUCAGUAACUGACGCUGAGGCGCGAAAGCGUGGGGAGCAAACAGGAUUAGAUACCCUGGUAGUCCACGCCGUAAACGAUGAGUGCUAAGUGUUAGAGGGUUUCCGCCCUUUAGUGCUGCAGCAAACGCAUUAAGCACUCCGCCUGGGGAGUACGGUCGCAAGACUG